CCUGGUUGAUCCUGCCAGUAGCAUAUGCUUGUCUCAAAGAUUAAGCCAUGCAGGUCUAGUACACGCGGCCGGUACAGUGAAACUGCGAAUGGCUCAUUAAAUCAGUUAUGGUUCCUUUGAUCGCUCAUCGUUACUUGGAUAACUGUGGCAAUUCUAGAGCUAAUACAUGCAAACGAGCGCUGACCCUCCGGGUAUGCGUGCAUUUAUCAGACCAAAACCCAUGCGGGGCGUCCUCUCGGGGGCGCCCGGCCGCUUUGGUGACUCUAGAUAACCUCGAGCCGAUCGCUGGCCCUCCGUGGCGGCGACGUCUCAUUCGAAUGUCUGCCCUAUCAACUUUCGAUGGUACUUUAUGUGCUACCAUGGUGACCACGGGUAACGGGGAAUCAGGGUUCGAUUCCGGAGAGGGAGCCUGAGAAACGGCUACCACAUCCAAGGAAGGCAGCAGGCGCAAAUUACCCACUCGAUCGGGAGGUAGUGACGAAAAAUACAAUACAGGAUCUUUCGAGCUGUAAUUGGAAUGAUAACUUAAAUCUUAACGAGAUAUUGGAGGGCAGUUGGUGGAGCCGCGGUAAUCAGCUCAUAGCGUAUUUAAAGUGCUGCAGUUAAAAGUCGUAGUUGGAUCUCGGAUGGCUGACGGUCCGGCGAGGCAGUACCGUCUGUCCAGCCCUGCUCUCGGCGCCUCGAUGCUCUUAGCUGAGUGUCCGCGGGUCGAAGGUUUACUUUGAAAAAUUAGAGUGUUCAAGCAGGCCGGUCGCUGAAUACGCAGCUAGGAUAAUGAAUGGACUCCGGUUCUAUUUUGUGUUUUCUCUCUGAACUGGGGCCAUGAUUAAGAGGGACGGCCGGGGGCAUUCGUAUUGUGCCGCUAGAGGUGAAAUUCUUGGACCGGCGCAAGACGGACGAAAGCGAAAGCAUUGAAAAUGUUUCAUUAAUCAAGAACGAAAGUGGAGGUUGAAGACGAUAAUACGUCGUAGUUCGACAUAACGAUGCCAACUAGCGAUCCGGCGGCGUUAUUCCCAUGACCCGCCGGGCAGCGUCCGGGAAACCAAAGUUUUUGGGUUCGGGGGGGUAUGGUUCAAGCUGAAACUUAAGGAAUUGAGGAAGGGCACCCAGGAGUGGAGCCUGCGGCUUAAUUUGACUCAACACGGAAACCUCACCCGGCCCGGACACGGAAAGGAUGAGAUUGAUAGUCUUUUCGAUCGUGGGUGGUGGUGCAUGGGUUCUUAGUUGGUGGAGCGAUUUGUCUGGUAAUUCGAUAGAACGAGAUCGACAUGCUAAUGUUUAUCGACCGGUGCGGUCGAGUCCACUUCUUAGAGGACAGUGGGUUCAGCCAACGAGAUUGAGCAAUAAGGUUGUGAUGCUUAGAUGUCGGGGCUGCACGCGCACUGAGUGGAUCAGCGUGUGUUACUUCGCGAGAGGCGUGGGUAACGUUGAACCCACUCGUGAUAGGGAUUGGGGAUUGCAUAUUUCCCUGAACGAGGAUUCCCAGUAAGCGGGGUCAUAAGCUCGCGUUGAUUAAGUCCUGCUUGUACACACGCCGUGCUACUCGAUUGGAUGGUUUAGUGAGGUCUCGGAUGGCCGCGGGUCGGUCACGGCUGGCGGACGCGAGAAGAGAUCAAACUUGACUAUCUAGAGGAGUAAGUCGUACAAGGUUUCGGUAGGUGAACUGCGGAAG
rnacentral:rRNA from 1 species